rnacentral:rRNA from 1 species
CCUACGGGUGGCUGCAGUGGGGAAUAUUGCACAAUGGGCGAAACCCUGAUGCAGCGACGCCGCGUGAGUGAAGAAGUAAUUCGGUAUGUAAAGCUCUAUCAGCAGGGAAGAAAAGGACGGUACCUGAGUAAGAAGCCCCGGCUGACGACGUGCCAGGGGCGGGGGGAAUAGGUGGGGGGCAAGGGUUAUCCGGAUUUACUGGGGGUAAAGGGAGCGUAGACGGCAGUGCAAGUCUGGGGGGAAAGGCGGGGGCUCAACCCCGGACUGCUCUGGACACUGUACGGCUGGAGUGCAGGAGAGGUAAGUGGAAUUCCUAGUGUAGCGGUGAAAUGCGUAGAUAUUAGGAGGAACACCAGUGGCGAAGGCAGCUUACUGGACUGUAACUGACGUUGAGGCUCGAAAGCGUGGGGAGCAAACAGGAUUAGAUACCCUAGUAGUC